ACUCAAAGGAAUAGACGGGGGCCCGCACAAGCGGAGGAACAUGUGGUUUAAUUCGAUGAUACGCGAGGAACCUUACCUGGGCUUAAAUGUAUGUUGCAUGGAGUGGAAACAUUCCUUUCCUUCGGGACUACGUACAAGGUGCUGCAUGGUUGUCGUCAGCUCGUGCCGUGAGGUGUCGGGUUAAGUCCCAUAACGAGCGCAACCCCUGUUGUCAGUUGCCAGCAUGUAAUGGUGGGGACUCUGACAAGACUGCCGGUGUAAACCGUGAGGAAGGUGGGGAUGACGUCAAAUCAGCACGGCCCUUAUGUCCAGGGCCACACACGUGUUACAAUGGUCGGUACAACGGGCAGCCACCUGGCGACAGGGCGCUAAUCCCGAAAGCCGAUCGUAGUUCGGAUCGGAGUCUGCAACUCGACUCCGUGAAGCUGGAUUCGCUAGUAAUCGCGCAUCAGCCAUGGCGCGGUGAAUACGUUCCCGGGCCUUGUACACACCGCCCGU
rnacentral:rRNA from 1 species